UACGGAGGGUGCAAGCGUUAAUCGGAAUUACUGGGCGUAAAGCGUGCGCAGGCGGUUUGUUAAGUCCGUUGUGAAAGCCCCGAGCUCAACUUGGGAAUUGCAGUGGAUACUGGCAGGCUGGAGUACGGUAGAGGAAGGUGGAAUUCCCGGUGUAGCAGUGAAAUGCGUAGAGAUCGGGAAGAACACCAGUGGCGAAGGCGGCUAACUGGUCCAGAUCUGACGCUGAGGUGCGAAAGCGUGGGGAGCAAACAGG
rnacentral:rRNA from 1 species